rnacentral:rRNA from 1 species
AAAUGAAUAGACGGGGGCCCGCACAAGCGGUGGAGUAUGUGGUUUAAUUCGAUGCAACGCGAAGAACCUUACCAGGGCUUGACAUCUGGGGAACCCGCCUGAAAGGGCGGGGUGCUCUUCGGAGAGCCCCAAGACAGGUGGUGCAUGGCUGUCGUCAGCUCGUGUCGUGAGAUGUUGGAUUAAGUUCCGCAACGAGCGCAACCCUCGUCGUAUGUUGCCAGCGAUUCGGUCGGGCACUCAUGCGAGACUGCCGCAGCAAUGUGGAGGAAGGUGGGGAUGACGUCAAGUCAGCAUGCCCCGUACGCCCUGGGCUACACACAUACUACAAUCCGGGGGGCAGACCGACGCGAGACCGUGAGGUGGAGCAAAUCGGAGAAGACCCCGGUCAGUGCGGAUUGCAGGCUGCAACUCGCCUGCAUGAAGUCGGAAUCGCUAGUAACCGUCGGUCAGCAUUACGACGGUGAAUACGUUCCCGGGCCUUGUACACACCGCCCGU